UUAUAAAUCACAUAAGACUACUCUUUUACUAAUAAGAUCAAUAGAUCCCAUCUAGGUGUACAUCCUAUUCCUACAAUGAACCUAUUGUAGCCAACAUACACCUUAAGACUCCAUAUGGCUAGAAGAUCAAGUUAUGAUGUAGUCAAACUACAGCAAUCUCACUAUGAAUAGUCGAGACACUGUAGGUCUAAGAACUACUUACACAACUACAGCAUCGAGAAUGUCACUGAUAAGUGAGUGACAUCCAAAUGACUUCUCGUAUUGAUCACGCUCAGUACUGUUGUUCUCUAACAACCACCUACAC
rnacentral:lncRNA from 1 species